rnacentral:lncRNA from 1 species
UUUCUCUCAUUUCAGUUAGUGAAUUUCUCUCAUUUGAGUACGAGAGUUCUUUGUGUUCAGGAAGAAAGGCAAAAUUCAAACGAGUUUCAGUUUCUGCAUCUCAUAAAUUCUGCCUCAGCACCUCACAAAUUUUGUCUCUGCAUCUCAGUUAUCACAAGGAAUAAAUUAGAUUUAGAUCUACAAAUAGAGGUGAGAAAUGUUUAAAUGGUUAGAAUAUUUAAUUUAAAUUACAAAAAUUCGUAGAUUUUUAUUUUUUAUAUAUUUAAAUUGUUAUGCAUUGUUGUGAUUUUUUUAAUUUAAAUGGCUGGAAAUAAUGGAAUAGAUUAUAAUAAUUUAUGAAUGUGUUUUAUAUAUGUUAGGAUUUGUUAAAUUUAAAUUGCUGAAAAUAAUGGAAUAAAUUAUAACAAUUUCCGGAUGUGUUUUAUAUAUUUAAGUUGUUAGGAUUUUAUAAUUUAAAUUGUUGGAGAUAAUGGAAUAAAUUAUAAAAAUUUGUAGAUGUGUUUUAUAUAUUUAAAUUGUUAGGAAUUUUCGUUACCGGACAAAAUGUUAUAUAAGUUUCUUAAUACAAAUGUUAAUUAUUUUGUAGAAAUGGAGUAUUUGGAAAAUGAGCAUGCAUUUGAAGAGUUGCAAGAAACAAGAGUUAACGAUGUAAAUGAAAUUGUGUAAUGUAAUAUGAUGCUUAUUUUUAUGUAUUAUAGCAAUCAGUCCCACCAUAUACAUCGCAGUUGCAUUAUUAUUCUUCUUCGAUGACUCAUCAAGGAUCUCAAAGUGAGAAUUUCCAACAGUUACUACAGCAGCAGCAGCGUAAUGAAGAUAACAAUAAUG